CUACGGGAGGCAGCAGUGGGGAAUAUUGGACAAUGGGCGAAAGCCUGAUCCAGCCAUGCCGCGUGAGUGAUGAAGGCUUUCGGGUCGUAAAGCUCUGUGGGGAGGGAAGAAGUCCGGUGUGCCAAUACCACGCCGGGGUGACGGUACCUCCUUAGCAAGCACCGGCUAACUCCGUGCCAGCAGCCGCGGUAAUACGGAGGGUGCAAACGUUGCUCGGAAUCAUUGGGCGUAAAGCGCAUGUAGGCGGUCUUUUAAGUCGGGUGUGAAAGCCCUGGGCUCAACCCAGGAAGUGCACUUGAAACUGAGAGGCUAGAGUACGGAAGAGGGUCGUGGAAUUCCCGGUGUAGAGGUGAAAUUCGUAGAUAUCGGGAGGAACACCAGUGGCGAAGGCGGCGACCUGGGCCGAUACUGACGCUGAGAUGCGAAAGCGUGGGGAGCAAACAGGAUUAGAUACCCCAGUAGUCC
rnacentral:rRNA from 1 species